rnacentral:lncRNA from 1 species
UUUAAAAACUCACCAAAUUAGGUGGAAAUAUUGGAAAAUAAUAUUGUCCGUGGCCAGAUGUUAUACAGAAAAACAUGACGGUCGGUGUCUGGAAUGAAAGGAUCUGUUGACCUUUUUCAAUUACCAUUUAAUCACUCAGAAUAAAGUGCCCUGUAGCCAACAGUGCCUCUCUGCUUCCCUAGGAAGUAAGUGGGACUAAAUGGUAGGUCAUCAUCAAACUUUGGGAAUAUGCACAAAAAAAUGACCAUUUUUCAAAAUGCGCGUUCUCUGAAGAGGAAACAGCUAGUCAGACAGGAUAGCUUAAAGAUUCAAGUACUGCGGGCAUCAGGCCACUAUCCAUAGUAACAUAUACUGUAACACCUAAAUAGUCUACUUGCUUUGUAGAUAAGGAAACAGGCAAAAGGAAAAUCCAACAUAUUGCAUUAAGUGGAUGACAGAAUUUACAUCUGCUUGGGUACCAUUUAGGGAGAUUUAGUGUGGCCUUAAAAAGCAAAUGACUAUUUUUAAGCACUUUUUAAUUGGAUAUAUGAGCUUAUUAUAUGGUAAGAUGUAUGAAACUGGAUAAAGAACUCAUUUAUAAUUAUGCCUCAUCCAAAAAAAAAUGUGUUCUCCUUGUUCACGAGUAGAGCAAUCUAGAAAACUUCGUCUCUGUCUUUCUGUGAGAUCCCUUUCCUCUGGCUAUAUUGUAAUAUAUGUGUUUGAUGUGGAAGUAACAACUUAAUCAAGAUUUUUGAUUAAAACACCAUUUAGAUUUCCAAAAUACAAUGAUUACUUCAGGGAAGAUAGACCAAAAA